rnacentral:misc_RNA from 1 species
UAUGCUGUUCCUCCCAAGGGAUUUUUUCCCUCAGAUUCUGCUAGUGGUUCAGUACAUUCUUUGUCAUCUGGUGGCUCAGAUAGUGUACAUGGUCAUAUGAAAGCAAUGGCAAUGGAUGCCUUCAGAGUUAGCCUAUCUAGUGCUGUUAGCUCAUCAAGCCAAGGUUCUGGUCAUGAUGAUGGUGAUGCCCUUGGAGAUGUAUUCAUUUGGGGAGAAGGGACAGGAGAUGGUGUCCUAGGAGGUGGAACUCAUAAGGUUG